rnacentral:rRNA from 1 species
GCGGCAGGCUUAACACAUGCAAGUCGAGCGCCCCGCAAGGGGAGCGGCAGACGGGUGAGUAACGCGUGGGAAUCUACCCAUCUCUACGGAAUAACGCAUGGAAACGUGUGCUAAUACCGUAUACGCCCUUCGGGGGAAAGAUUUAUCGGAGAUGGAUGAGCCCGCGUUGGAUUAGCUAGUUGGUGGGGUAAAGGCCUACCAAGGCGACGAUCCAUAGCUGGUCUGAGAGGAUGAUCAGCCACACUGGGACUGAGACACGGCCCAGACUCCUACGGGAGGCAGCAGUGGGGAAUAUUGGACAAUGGGCGCAAGCCUGAUCCAGCCAUGCCGCGUGUGUGAUGAAGGCCCUAGGGUUGUAAAGCACUUUCACCGGAGAAGAUAAUGACGGUAUCCGGAGAAGAAGCCC